ensembl:antisense Gm27217 predicted gene 27217
AAAAGGGGGUGGCAGCAGAAGGAGCUACUCCCUGGCCGCUGCACUGUGACCAGAGCAGCCCGUGAUCAUAGCUCUGAACCCGCCUCGUUCCAGGCUUCCUCCGCCGUUCCCUCCUCCUUCUGCACAGACACCCCUAGGGUCUCUCCGUAGAGCCUUCGAGAGCUCACGGUGGCCCGGGGCGCCGCGCCCUGACCCGCGCUCUAGGGUCGUGGAGGACGGCGCCCCAUCUGGGGAGACUGCGGCGCUAAGCCUCGAGUACCCCCAGGGACGCUGAGGAACAGAGAAACGCGAGCCAGAGCAACACCCGCCCCCCAGGAACCGGGAACAAAGACCCCUUUGUUCCAGCUCUGUCCCUCUCCCGGGAGACCAGAGUCCCGUGGGUGUGGUGUCGUGGAGAGGAGGAGACAGGUCACUGCAGAUUCUCAAGGUUCCUUUGGCUUAAACAUACGUGAUUUGUAUUCAAGAUAAACUAAAAAAGAAGAUUCAUAGUAUGUCUUGAAAAUUAUACCUGGUCUGGGAAGAGAGCUCAGCAAGUAUUCCACUUUCUGUGUGCAAUGAUACUAUUAAGAUGUAUGUCUUUGUUGGAACAGGUGUGACCUUGUUGGAGGAAGUGUGUCACUGUGGGGGUGGCCUUCAAGAUCCUAUGCUCAAGUUCCACACAGUGCAGAAGAGACAUUCUCCUUCUGGUUGCCUUCAGAUCAAUGUGCAGAAUUCCCAGCUCCUUCUCCAGCAAUACAUCUGCCUGGAUGCUACCAUGCCUCCUGCCAUGAUAAUAGUGGACAGAACCUCUGAACCUGUAAGCCAGCUCCAAUUAAAUGUUUUCCUGUGUAAGAGUUGCCUUGGUCAUGGUGCUUCUCCACAGCAAUAAAACCUUAAGACACUG